AUUGAACGCUGGCGGCAGGCCAACACAUGCAAGUCGAGCGGAUGAAGGGAGCUUGCUCCUGGAUUCAGCGGCGGACGGGUGAGUAAUGCCUAGGAAUCUGCCUGGUAGUGGGGGAUAACGUCCGGAAACGGGCGCUAAUACCGCAUACGUCCUGAGGGAGAAAGUGGGGGAUCUUCGGACCUCACGCUAUCAGAUGAGCCUAGGUCGGAUUAGCUAGUUGGUGGGGUAAAGGCCUACCAAGGCGACGAUCCGUAACUGGUCUGAGAGGAUGAUCAGUCACACUGGAACUGAGUCACGGUCCAGACUCCUACGGGAGGCAGCAGUGGGGAAUAUUGGACAAUGGGCGAAAGCCUGAUCCAGCCAUGCCGCGUGUGUGAAGAAGGUCUUCGGAUUGUAAAGCACUUUAAGUUGGGAGGAAGGGCAGUAAGUUAAUACCUUGCUGUUUUGACGUUACCAACAGAAUAAGCACCGGCUAACUUCGUG
rnacentral:rRNA from 1 species